AGAGCACUCCUACGGGAGGCAGCAGUGGGGAAUAUUGCACAAUGGGCGCAAGCCUGAUGCAGCCAUGCCGCGUGUAUGAAGAAGGCCUUCGGGUUGUAAAGUACUUUCAGCAGUGAGGAAGGUGGGUAUGUUAAUAGCAUACUCAUUUGACGUUAGCUGCAGAAGAAGCACCGGCUAACUCCGUGCCAGCAGCCGCGGUAAUACGGAGGGUGCGAGCGUUAAUCGGAAUUACUGGGCGUAAAGCGCAUGCAGGUGGUUUGUUAAGUCAGAUGUGAAAGCCCGGGGCUCAACCUCGGAAUUGCAUUUGAAACUGGCAAACUAGAGUACUGUAGAGGGGGUAGAAUUUCAGGUGUAGCGGUGAAAUGCGUAGAGAUCUGAAGGAAUACCGGUGGCGAAGGCGGCCCCCUGGACAGAUACUGACACUCAGAUGCGAAAGCGUGGGGAGCAAACAGGAUUAGAUACCCUGGUAG
rnacentral:rRNA from 1 species